AGUGAACGCUGGCGGUAGGCCUAACACAUGCAAGUCGAACGGCAGCACAGUAAGAGCUUGCUCUUACGGGUGGCGAGUGGCGGACGGGUGAGGAAUACAUCGGAAUCUACUUUUUCGUGGGGGAUAACGUAGGGAAACUUACGCUAAUACCGCAUACGACCUACGGGUGAAAGCAGGGGAUCUUCGGACCCUGCGCGAUUGAAUGAGCCGAUGUCGGAUUAGCUAGUUGGCGGGGUAAAGGCCCACCAAGGCGACGAUCCGUAGCUGGUCUGAGAGGAUGAUCAGCCACACUGGAACUGAGACACGGUCCAGACUCCUACGGGAGGCAGCAGUGGGGAAUAUUGGACAAUGGGCGCAAGCCUGAUCCAGCCAUACCGCGUGGGUGAAGAAGGCCUUCGGGUUGUAAAGCCCUUUUGUUGGGAAAGAAAAGCAGCAGGUUAAUACCCCGCUGUUCUGACAGUACCCAAAGAAUAAGCACCGGCUAACUUCGUG
rnacentral:rRNA from 1 species